rnacentral:rRNA from 1 species
GAUAAACGCUGGCGGCGUACAUAAAACAUGCAAGUCGAACGGACGAAACAUAUUUGUUUACAAAGAUGUUUCGCUAGUGGCGGACUGGUGAGUAAUACGUAAGCAACCUACCUAUAAGAGUGGAAUAACAGUGAGAAAUCAUUGCUAAUACCACAUAAUCUAUACUUGCAGCAUUGCAGGGAUAGCAAAGGAGUAAUCCGCUAAUAGAUGGGCUUACGCCUGAUUAGCUAGUUGGUGUGGUAACGGCACACCAAGGCGACGAUCAGUAGCCGGACUGAGAGGUUGAACGGCCACAUUGGGACUGAGAUACGGCCCAGACUCCUACGGGAGGCAGCAGUUGGGAAUAUUGCGCAAUGGAGGAAACUCUGACGCAGUGACGCCGCGUAUAGGAAGAAGGUUUUCGGAUUGUAAACUAUUGUCGACAGGGAAGAAAAAAAUGACGGUACCUGUGGAGGAAGCCCCGGCUAACUACGUGCCAGCCGCCGCAGUAAAAC